rnacentral:rRNA from 1 species
GACAGAGGGGGCAAGCGUUGCUCGGAAUUACUGGGCGUAAAGCGCGCGUAGGCGGCUUUGCAAGUCGGGUGUGAAAUCCCCAGGCUCAACCUGGGAACUGCAUUCGAGACUGCAUUGCUAGAGUAUGGGAGAGGGAAGUGGAAUUUCCGGUGUAGCGGUGAAAUGCGUAGAUAUCGGAAGGAACAUCAGUGGCGAAGGCGGCUGCCUGGCCCAAUACUGACACUCAGGUGCGACAGCGUGGGGAGCAAACAGG